CCUUCGAUAGCUCAGUUGGUAGAGCGGUGGACUGUAGAGACGAGCGUUUCGAUGCACUCAUAGAGUAAUCCAUAGGUCACUGGUUCAAAUCCGGUUCGAAGGA
rnacentral:tRNA from 1 species